ensembl:lncRNA
GCGCUGCUCUGGGCGAUGUCAUGCCCUCCUCUGUAUUGUGCAGCAGUGGGUCUGCUGGUGCUGGUGGGUCUGCUGGUGCUGGUGGGUCUGCUGGUGCUGGUGGGUCUGGCGGUGCAGGUGGGUCUGGCGGUGCAGGUGGGUCUGGCGGUGCAGGUGGGUCUGCUGGUGCUGGUGAGCCCAGGCGGGAGCCUCCAUAACAGCCCCGGGCCGCAGCCUCGCCCAGCAGAAAGCAUCUGUCGCUGGAAAACACCUCAUAUUUCUCGAUCCCCCGUCUCCACAGCAGGCCGUGGGAGUCCCUGCUUCCUUGGAGACGGAGGGGGGGGGGGGGUGUGAGGCGAUAGGGUGGAUGGGAGAGUGGAAGGAGGCGAGGAGCAGGUGGAGGAGGAGGAGGAGGAGGAGAGGAGGGC